rnacentral:rRNA from 1 species
GACGAACGCUGGCGGCGUGCUUAACACAUGCAAGUCGAACGGAAAGGCCCUGCUUUUGUGGGGUGCUCGAGUGGCGAACGGGUGAGUAACACGUGAGUAACCUGCCCUUGACUUUUGGAUAACUUCAGGAGUCUGGGGCUAAUACCGUAUACGAGCUCCUGCUGCAUGGGGGGGGUUGGAAAGUUUCGGCGGUUGGGGAUGGACUCGCGGCUUAUCAGUGUGUUGGUGGGGGAGUGGCUUACCAAGGCUUUGACGGAUAGCCGGCCUGAGAGGGUGCGCGGCCACAUUGGGACUGAGAUGCGGCACAGACCCCUACGGGAGGCAGCAGUGGGGAAUAUUGCACAAUGGGCGGAAGCCUGAUACAGCAACGGCGCGUGCGGGAUGACGGCCUUCGGGUUGUACCCCGCUUUCGCCUGUGACGAAGCGUGAGUGACGGUAAUGGGUAAAGAAGCACCGGCUAACUACGUG